AACCUAGCACACCUGCGGUGUGUACCUGCGGAAGGAUCAUUACAGAGUUACUACUCCAAACCCAUUGUGAACCUUACCUAUGUUCUGUUGCCUCGGCGGCGCGGUCAGCGCCCCUCUGAAAAGAGGACGAUGCCCUCCCGCCGGCAGCACCAAACUCUUGAAUUUUACAGCGGAUUACAGUUCUGAUUUAAAAACAAAAAAAACAAGUUAAAACUUUCAGCAACGGAUCUCAGAUCGGAA
rnacentral:misc_RNA from 1 species